GCGUCGGUAGUGCAACGGUUAGCAUACGCUCCCGCAAUGAGUGAGAUCUGGGUUCGAAUCCCGGCUGAGACA